GCGCCUACUCUUUUCUUCCCUGCCGACGCUGUGCCCUAACCGCAAGCAGCGAUUUCUUCUCCCCUCUUCUCAUCUUCUUCCUCACCGAGCCUUCUUCUGAUCUCAUUGUCUCCUUUGCCCGAAGCCAGGCCGCCGGCGACGAGAGUCGCCCUUUCCUCUCUUUUGAUCCGCGCGCCGAUCACCGACCACUGGAAUCCAACGACACCGCCGUUCCGACGCCACUGAUCGCAGGUUGCCGCUGUCCAUGAGCCCUCGUCCUGGCCGAUCAAGCCGACUCUCCUUUCCUCUGCCCUAGCGACGGCAGACGCCCGUCCCUCUACCGACCUCACACCACGACACUGGUUGCUGAUCACCAGGUGCUGCCGCGCCACCGAUGGGCCUAGUAGUGCCCUAGUUAUCCACUACCGCAGCCACUUAGCCUCACGGUGCCGCCUCUCCUCUACCUCUGCCAGUUUCCCGAUCGUUUCUGAUCACUUCCCCUGGCUGACGACGUGAGCACGAGGUUCUGAUCUUGGAGUGAAUUGUAGGGUGUUACUUGGGUUUCCAGCAGCUACCCAGUUCUGACAGCCACUCCAUUCAGUGGCUACUGGUUCCUGCAACGACUGUGAAUCUAGGGACUGUGGUUUGAUUCCGACCAGCAAGCAUGUGGAAGGAUUUGUUGUGGUUACAACCAUGAGUUUCCAGCAGCAUACCGUUGCAGCUCUUUAAUUUUGGAUCAACAGCAAUUCAUCUGUUGAGGUUUGUGUGUGCUCUUGGAGCUUAUGGACAGAGAGUCAUAGGACUCUGAUUUGAGAUGAGCAUCUCAACGUUGGAUUUGACUGGAUUGGAUCUACAGUUAAAGGCGGGUACCUCUUGACUUAUCUUUUAUGAUAUUGUCUUUGGAUAUGCAUAGUAUUUUAUAACUACAAGCAAU